rnacentral:lncRNA from 1 species
AGACGCAUGAUAAUGAGCCGCAUGCUAACGACCGCCCACAGAGCUCCGCGCGGACCGGCCCGCCCCCCACCCCGGGCCGAUGGGACGGCUCGUACCUUCGUACUGCACCUCGGGGUGUGUCGUGCCCAGUGCUGCCAGCAGCGGCGCCACUCCAGCCGGCGGAGGCUCUUCCAGCAGGUCCUGGGGGACAAGGGCGGGUUGAGGAGGCAGGUGGUUCAGCCCUAGUAUUUCCAGGAGCAUCAAGACGCCUCCCAUCUCCAGAAAUUCAAUAAUGUAUCUGCGGCUGCACGGAUGGAGGGACAAAGCCAAAAACGUCACCUGCUUUGGAGCACAUCUUCCCGAGUGAGCACACCUGACUGUAGCAGCACGAUGGCACCUGGACACUGAACACGAGGCACCUGAGGCUCAGCUAGGACAGCUUUACUGCCACUAUGUCACCACCUACAGCUUUACCCCGUGCUCAUUUCAGAUGCUAAACCACAGGCACAGAAAAUCCCAUCUCUGCGCUCAGGCUUCCAGCAUGCUCUUUCCACACCGUGCCAAUGACCCAGUGGUUCUGGAGGAGGACAAGCUGUGGAUUUGGAUUCGAGAGCUUCUUAUUAUAGGAAGCCACAACCCCAUUGCCUGCACACACCUUCCCC